CUGGGGCAACUUCCAGGCCCUGUGGAUCAACCAGGAGUUCCCCAUGUUCUAAUUUGCUGGCACCUCCCAUGGAAGCGAACAGGGUUUCCUCCGAGGCCCUGAACAGAAGGGAUGCUUGGCGAGUAGCGGAGGCUUCGCAGGAAGCUCCCAGGACACGUACAAAUGUAGAAGCCAGCCGAGG
rnacentral:lncRNA from 1 species